GAUGAACGCUGGCGGCGUGCCUAAUACAUGCCAGUCGAGCGAACAGACGAGGAGCUUGCUCCUCUGACGUUAGCGGCGGACGGGUGAGUAACACGUGGAUAACCUACCUAUAAGACUGGGAUAACUUCGGGAAACCGGAGCUAAUACCGGAUAAUAUAUUGAACCGCAUGGUUCAAUAGUGAAAGACGGUUUUGCUGUCACUUAUAGAUGGAUCCGCGCCGCAUUAGCUAGUUGGUAAGGUAACGGCUUACCAAGGCAACGAUGCGUAGCCGACCUGAGAGGGUGAUCGGCCACACUGGAACUGAGACACGGUCCAGACUCCUACGGGAGGCAGCAGUAGGGAAUCUUCCGCAAUGGGCGAAAGCCUGACGGAGCAACGCCGCGUGAGUGAUGAAGGUCUUCGGAUCGUAAAACUCUGUUAUUAGGGAAGAACAAAUGUGUAAGUAACUAUGCACGGCUUGACGGUACCUAAUCAGAAAGCCACGGCUAACUACGUG
rnacentral:rRNA from 1 species